AGGUAUGGUUUUUAUUUGUUUACUUGUUUAUUUAUUUGUGUUAGUGUGCAAGGAAAGGGGAGUCUAGAAGCUGAAACCAUGAAAUCCACACGGAAUUCUUUACAGAUUAGUAGUUGCGCAAUAUUUAUCUUUGCUGCUUACCUCGGAGGCCGGCCAAACCCUGAAGCUUUAUCUAGGUUUUGCAACAUAGAAUGAUCAUAUUUUCAUAGAUAUCAUCUUUGAAUUUGGCUUAGGUGUAGAGCAAAAUAUCACUUUAACGGAUUAUUGUUCUUGCUGUUGAGUUUCAUAUUGUUUGGAGACAGGCAAGGUACCAUUUAAAAAAUAACCAGUAAGUUUUUGGGGACACCCCCCCCCCUUACUCAAUAUGGCUGUAAGUCUUCUGUGGGAUUCAUGAGCUUUUAAGAUAAACACAAACCACGUAACCAUCAGCUUGGACUCUGUUUAUUAAGGUGCAAGAAGUGAUUUUAAGAGCUGUGACUCUGGUUUUAAGAGGGAUAAAGCAUCCUAGACCAUAUGUUAUCCUCAGAAUUGUUAAGUUCUGAAGCCAGCAUAUUAACCAGAUGAUACAGAAAAUAUGUUCAUAUUUGAUGUUUAAAGUCAUAUAGACAUGCGUUUUAUUCCAGUGUAUUUUGCUUUCCAUUUAAAAGUAUUUAAGCCUAAUUCUUACAAAUUUGAAGACCUAUAAAGGAUUCGGAACUUUGUAGAAGGACAAGACUUAUUCCUACAAGCCCUGUUUUGCAAACAUAAUCUUGUUCUUCUGUGCUUCAGUGCUCUCUUCACCGAUUGAUAUGUAAGGUGUGAAAUACUUAAUAAUGUCAUCAAAGAGAUUCAUCCGUUUAUUUAUGUUUUAUAGUUAAGAGACUCAACCACAGGGAAAAAUGACUUGACUGUAGUGGUUAGCACUCUGUGUUUAGAAAUUAAUAAUUUAAAUUUUUAUCUGUUUAAGUUUUUGACUUUUACAACUAAGGUCUUCUGCUUAGUUCUGAGAAGAAAUUAUUUUCCUUCCUUUGGAUUUUUUUGGCCAACUUUUGCAUCACAAUUUUGGCCAGUCCUCUCAUAACAGUAUUCCAGAAGAAAAUUGAAGAAAAAUGUGUAGAUAGUUCAUGUAAGCCUAUUUUCUUUACUUUACCCAACUAUAUUAAUUGAAAAAACUUCUUAAAGUCCAGUUUUAAAGUGUAUCUUUGUAUAUUAAGAUCUAUAAAUUAUGUAAGAAGUUCCUCAGAAAAACCGAAAAUUGGCUUUCUUUUCUUGUCUUGUCCAUGAUGCUGGUGAGUUAGAAAUUUAAUAUCCAUUUCCACUUUUUCAUUAAUUAGCAUAAAACUGCCUUGAAUAUUUUACUCUUCAUUCUAAGUUAAAUAAUCUUUCAAAAUCUCUCCAAAAGUAAAUCACUUAUAAAUGAAUCUAGGCAUCUCUUUUGCCCUUCACUUAACCUCCUAUAUCUCAGAUGCUUGGUAUUCUUUUGGGGAAAGGAAAUCAAAUUUGUAUGAGUCUUGGCCCUCUUUUUAAUGUAUUUAAUCCUCUUAUUAGCCUUUGUAACAGCAUCUUAACUUAGUGAUGACACCCUUAUUGAACCUGUGAUGGAACUUUUGGCUCUUAUAAGGAAGAGCCAUUUCUGGCAUUGACUCCAACCUUGUACCCAAGAAGCAUGGAAUAUUAAUGUAUUCUCAGUUCAGCGAGUAUGCUUGGCAGCCCACUGUGUUAUUAGUACAUCUAACUGAGUCAUAAGUAUCUCACAUUUUGAGGGGAGAGGAGCAGUCUUUGAAGGAGUAGGAAAGCCACUGGUUUCAAUAAGCCCUUGAGAAUUUGCUGCAGAUGUAGCACCUCUGAGCCUCAGAUUCACCAACUUGCCAAGAUACUGUACCUUUUUCUUUACUAUUUAUAUAUACUUAACUAUAAACAGUUACCUGUAUACAUAUAUAAGUGCAUAUGUGUGUGUGUGUGUGUGUGUAUACAUAUAUACAUAUAUAUACACACACACACUCACACACACAUGCAUAUAUAUAGAAUUUCUAUGGGAAAGGGGCCCUCCCCUAAUUACCUCACUGUAUUUGUUCCCUAACACAGUACUGUGUUUUUGCAUGUGCAGAGGGGGGCCCAUCAAACCUUUUCCUGACUAUUCCUGACAUGCAUUGUGGGACAUCUUAGAGAUUUUUUUUUUCCUUCUCUAUCUUUUAUUGUCACCAUCUUACUGUAGAAACUUGUCAUCCCAGGCGAGGUUGGGUAACAGCUAAAUUCCUCUCAGGUCUCAGUCACUUCUGGAUGUUAUUUCCAGACUUUUCCAAAGUACCAUCUGAUACGAGAGUUCCUGGCCUCUGAAAGUGCAGUGUCUCCCAACUGACCAUUGUAUAAAUUCCAGGCUCUUUAGCCUACUCACAUAUAGCUGAAUGUAGGCUAAGAGAAGGUUACCAUACCAAGGAUAGUGUCUAAAAAUAAAGAUAAGCCUCCUGAUACGCCAUAUUUAAUUCACCCAACAGACUUAUGGAGAAUAUGUUAUGACUGUUGCCUGUCUCGAGGAGGUACUGAGUACAUGUAGACAAGUGAGGCAUGGCGUGUCUUUAAGGAGCUUAGCGUCUGGUCGAGAAGAAAGACAUGUAAACAAGUAAUGCCAACAUAAGAUAAAUAGCCCAUGUGUGUGCGUGUGUCUGUGUGUGUCACUGUGUGUGUCACUGUGUGUGGGAGGGGGGUUGCUCAGAGAAGAAAGUGGACAUGUACUCUACUAGAGAGAUUAGAAGUCCCUAGGGAGGAGGUGAUUAAAUUGAGUCUUGACAUACAACGAAGUAUUUGCUAGGUGUGGUAGACGGACAAUUUCAAAGGACGUUUUAGAUAGAGGAAUUAGUAAGUUUAGUGUCAAGAGUCUUGAAACCAAAUGAGAGAUUUGAUGGACUUGAAAUCACAGGAUUGGAGAAAGAGAAGGAGGGAAAUGGCAAGCAGGACAGGCUUUGGUUCCCAGUAUAUGAGACAGGAGAGAGCUUCAGGACAAAGCCGUCCUCAGGUGGAAGACAGACCAGGAGAAUGGUGACUUUGGAGUCUGCUGAUUCAGUGUGGCUUGUUGUGGAAAUCCAGUCUGUGUGAGGAGCAAGCAAGCUCAGAACCUACUCUGCAGAAAAUGAGGCUGAAGAUCAGGUAGCAAGAUCUUAAUUAAGAAGAGACCUUGAAGAAACCAUGGCCAGCACCAAACACUGAGAAAGAGGAAAGAAUGAAGUUGAAUCAGCGCCCAGGUCAGUCACAGGUUUAUGGCAGAUUUCCACCUGUUUCCUAGGAACAAGGUCGCCAUCCAUUUGCUAUGUUACAGAAGAAUGUGGAAUAUAAGAUUCUAAGAGAGAGGAAAAGCUGUUCUGAGUGUUAAUCGUAUGUGGGUAAAUAAACCUUUUGAAUUAAGAAUUGAAGGCCUGGGUGCUUUUCAGUCUCAUGAUGUUUAACUUAUUUCUGUGUCAGGCUCAAACUUUUGUAGCUUAAGUUCAUUUACUUUUAGUAAAAUUUGUUUUCCUUUUUCUAAGAAAAAUUAGAAAAUAAAUUAGACUUAAAUGUUUUGGGGGGAUGAAAUAGCUCUUAUAAAUUUUGCAUUUUGAUGAGAUAAGUUUAAAUGAACAAAAAGCAAUCAGAUGAACAGCUCUUAAAAUGCACUAUGUGUGAAAAAUCAAAUCAGGAAUGCUUAGAGCAAAACAUUUAAGGCUUUAUUAUAUUGAAACCAUUUGAAAAAAUAUUCUGAAUGAUGGGCAAAUAGAAUAUGUGAUCAGGCUUAAUAAUUCAAAACUGACUUCUCUGUUUUCCAUGGAUGUAUUACUUUAUUAGUCUACAUGUAAUUUUCUUAAAAAUACUGUCUUCAAAACAAAAUAAUCAUUUUAAAAACAGUGUUGUCCUUCUCAUUGUAAAAAAUAUUUAGACUUUAAAUAUGUAUAAAAAUCUAGAAAAUUUGAAAAGUAGAGCAGUGAUCACACUUAAGUCCGCAUAUGAGAGAGAGCUGCUGUUGGAGUCCCCGUUGUGGUGCAGGGGAACAGAAUCCAGCUAGUAUCCAUGAGGAUGCAGGUUCGAUCCCUGGCCUCGCUCAGUGGGCUGGGGAUCCCGCGUUGCCGUGAGCUAUUGUAUAAGUCAUAAAUGUGGCUGGAACCUUGUGUUGCUGCGGCUAUGGCGCGCAACUGUAGCUUCGAUUCAGUCCCUAACCUGGGAACUUCCAUAUGCCAUGGGUGCAGCUC
rnacentral:lncRNA from 1 species